CUCACUGGUCCCCUCAAUUUAAUAAUCCAUAUAUUCAACAUACAGUACAUGUACUGCCAAAAAAAUAAAAAUAAAAAGGGGGAAAAGUAACCAUAUAUACUUCUGGUUGUACAGAAUCAAAGUAAUGUUCAAUAUGAUUUAUUUUACUUUUAUUUGUAUUGCAGUUUUUACAAUUGAGCAGAUCACAAAGCAGUUGAAUGCAUCCUAAGACCAUACUAGUAGUAUUCAAUACACUGAUGAUGACGAGAUGAGAUAGCAUGGCAGUUUCUACAUCCAAGUCUCAGCUCACCCGAGAGCAAAGAAUAUAGUGCCAGAGUGAAAAAAAACUUCAGAUCAAGGCCAGGAGAGAGAGAGAGGUGUCGCAGAUUAGAUCGAAACUGAAUCCCUAUAGAGGUCACACUUCAGCAGAGCUGCUGUUAUUAGUAUUUGGUGUGUAUUAUAGAGGGCAAAGAUCAUGACUGGCAUUAUAUUAUUAAUUCUGUUUUUACCUGCUGGCUUCAGCGUAAGACAAUCUCCUGAUCUUUCUGCUUACGAGGGUCAGAAUGUGACUCUUCAGUGUACUCAGAUCGGUACUUCCUAUAAUGGAAUGUACUGGUUCAGACAGAGACCUUCUGAAUCCCUGGAGCCCAUUGUAUUCUACUAUGUUAAAAUGGGCACACUAGAAGAUCGAUUUCAGCAGAAAAUUUCUGCCAUAAGGAACGGCAACUCUCUGGAUCUAACUGUGAAGGAGCUGCAGAUCACAGACAGUGGCAUCUACUUCUGUGCAAAACAGGAUGCACAGCAUGACAACCUAAUCUUUAACCUGAACAAGAACUACACCACCCCCACAACAAACACAUACUCAGCACCUGUUAACUGUAGUGCACAAAUCAAGUACUCAUGACCAAAAUACACAAGAGACAGAUAUAUCAAGUGGUUGUGAGGUCAUUUCCUGUCAUUUGGAAUUUAUAUUAGCAAGUGUUGGUUUGCUUUCUAUCAAUGACAGGAAACAAAUAAGCAUGAUGAUUCUGCUCUUUUUAUCUCAAAUCAUGCUGGCUGGUAAGUGUCUAGUGUGUAGCUCUCCCUCGCUAUUUCUGUCUAUAAUUUAUUUGUUUCAUUUUUAUCUCAAAGCAGUUUGAAUUCUUGAUUCUGAUUGGUCAGAAGGUAUUAAUUAAUUUUCUAUAACAGCACCUCUGACAGUAGUGUUGACUGCAAAUAUAAACUGGUUUAUAUUAAUGUGCUAACUCUAAUACAUUAUUAGUUCUAUUGUAACAACUUACACGGGGGCUUAGAUGGAAAACUUUCUAUUUUAUCAGACUUAAAAAAAAACAAAAAAAAAACAUGUGUAAUUGUUGAUAUGGUGAGGUUUCUGUGAACACAUGUUUAUCAUUGUUGGAAGGAGUCUAUAAAUGCCAGCGCUUUGUAACAGUCAGAGGUGAAGCUCUAGUGAAGUAACUAUGUUUUCCACCAAGGAAAAAUCUUCAAGCUGCAUUCUUAAUGUAUUAACAUUAUCAAGAGAAAGAGAAAAGACAUACUGUCGGACGGUGAGGGAAUGACUGUUUACAGCUGCUAUAACGUAAGCGAUAACAGGAACUAACACGUUUAGUGAAUGCUCUAUAACAUUUA